rnacentral:rRNA from 1 species
UACGAAGGGAGCGAGCGUUAUCCAUAAUGACUGGGCGUAAAGGGUUCGUAGGUGGUUUUGCCUUGUUAUAUGUGAAAGCCCAAACAAAACUUUGGAACGGCGUAUAAUACAGGAAAACUUGAGGAGAAAAGAGGAAAGUAGAAUUUUGCAAGGAGGGAUGGUAUCCAAAGAUAUGCAAAGGAAUAUCAAUGUGCAUAGGCGGCUUUCUGGUUUUUUGCUGACAUUGGGGAACUAAAGUGUGGGGAGCAAACAGG